GACGUAGGAUGCAAGCGUUGUCCGGAUUUAUUGGGCGUAAAGAGUUCGUAGGUGGUUUGUUAAGUCUGAUGUUAAAGACUGGGGCUCAACCUCGGAAAUGCAUUGGAUACUGGCAGACUUGAGUGCAGUAGAGGCAAGCGGAAUUCCAGGUGUAGCGGUGAAAUGCGUAGAUAUCUGGAAGAACACCGGUGGCGCAAGCGGCUUGCUGGGCUGUAACUGACACUGAGGAACGAAAGCUAGGGGAGCGAAAUGGG
rnacentral:rRNA from 1 species